GGCUCGAGGACGAACGCUGGCGGCGUGCUUAACACAUGCAAGUCGAACGGUAAGGCCCUUUGGGGUACACGAGUGGCGAACGGGUGAGUAACACGUGGGUGAUCUGCCCUGCACUUCGGGAUAAGCCUGGGAAACUGGGUCUAAUACCGGAUAGGACCAUGGACUUCACGGUUUGUGGUGGAAAGCUUUUGCGGUGUGGGAUGGGCCCGCGGCCUAUCAGCUUGUUGGUGGGGUAAUGGCCUACCAAGGCGACGACGGGUAGCCGGCCUGAGAGGGUGUCCGGCCACACUGGGACUGAGAUACGGCCCAGACUCCUACGGGAGGCAGCAGUGGGGAAUAUUGCACAAUGGGCGCAAGCCUGAUGCAGCGACGCCGCGUGAGGGAUGACGGCCUUCGGGUUGUAAACCUCUUUCAAUAGGGACGAAGCGCAAGUGACGGUACCUAUAGAAGAAGCACCGGCCAACUACGUG
rnacentral:rRNA from 1 species